rnacentral:lncRNA from 1 species
GCCAAGAAAUUUCUCUCUCGAAGCGUGAUUAUCCAAUAACUCCUCAAAAGAGAGAGCAUAUGAGUAGAAUUUUAUAUGCUUUGACAGUGGGAUCUAUUAUAUACGUCAUGAUAUGUACGAUAACAGCAAGAGCAUAUCGGGAUAUAUUUAUAUCCUGAAUAAUGGAGCAAUCUGCUGAAAAAGUUUCAAGCAGCAUACUGUGGCCGACUCUACUUGUGAGGCAGAAUAUAUCGAGGUGACGUCGAGCUUCAGAAGAUCGAUAGAAAAGAGAAUCUGACCAACCCAUUUACUAAAGCUCUCGAUGUCAAGGAAUUCGAAGACUACAAAUCAAAGAUGGAUAUACGAUACUGUACCAAUUG